rnacentral:rRNA from 1 species
CACUCCUACGGGAGGCAGCAGUGGGGAAUUUUGGACAAUGGGCGAAAGCCUGAUCCAGCCAUGCCGCGUGCAGGAUGAAGGCCUUCGGGUUGUAAACUGCUUUUGUACGGAACGAAACGGCCUUUUCUAAUAAAGAGGGCUAAUGACGGUACCGUAAGAAUAAGCACCGGCUAACUACGUGCCAGCAGCCGCGGUAAUACGUAGGGUGCAAGCGUUAAUCGGAAUUACUGGGCGUAAAGCGUGCGCAGGCGGUUAUGUAAGACAGUUGUGAAAUCCCCGGGCUCAACCUGGGAACUGCAUCUGUGACUGCAUAGCUAGAGUACGGUAGAGGGGGAUGGAAUUCCGCGUGUAGCAGUGAAAUGCGUAGAUAUGCGGAGGAACACCGAUGGCGAAGGCAAUCCCCUGGACCUGUACUAACGCUCAUGCACGAAAGCGUGGGGAGCAAACAGGAUUAGAAACCCUAGUAGUCCCAU